CAUUUGCAUCAAAAUCGCGGACCAGUGUCGCAGUGGAAGUUUCGCCAAAAAUCUAAUGUCGAAGAUCGGCAAAAAUUACAAGUAUAACAAGUAAGUUUAAUUAAUUCGUCCCUUUGAAUAGUAUGAUAAUAUUCCAUCUUAAUCAUCCUAUAGGAGAAAUAGCAAAAGCCAUGAAACAAACAAGUCCACCAUCACGGGGUUUGCCACUGCAACGGAGAAAGUUCAACGCGAAUUCUGCGGUGCAAUAUCCACCACAUCUCUGUACCCAAAUAGGUGCACUUCAUGACCAGCAGGUUCUCCGCUAUCUGGAAUUCACCCAGCUUAUGCCUCUGCAAAACAAACAUCCCCGGUCGGCUUGGAAAUUUUGCUACGGGCACAAAAUGUCCCUUCCUGUUUACAAGCAGCGGACCGCUUAUCAGCACCCGGUCACCCAAAGCCCCUAGUAAAGCUAAACAGAGCAUGUGGUUGCACCAGCGGAGGGUGAGCCGUUUGAGCCUCCGGGCUAUUCAGCCUCUGAGACUCCGAACCAUUGAAUUAAGGAAGACAGAACCUUACCAACCAUUUCGUCAUCGGGCGUGGAACGAAUUUCUAUGAAAAUAUCGAGAUUUGGGGCUGAGACACAUGCACAACGAGAGAACCCGUUUCGUC